UAUACACUACAUCAAGAUCCCACCCCAAACUAUGUACACCUACACACACUAUAUCUCUAUCCCACCCACACUAUGUUCUCCUACACACACUAUAUCUCUAUCCCACCCACACUAUGUUCUCCUACACACACUAUAUCUCUAUCCCACCCACACUAUGUUCUCCUACACACACUAUAUCUCUAUCCCAUCCCACACUAUGUUCUCCUACACACACUAUAUCUCUAUCCCAUCCCACACUAUGUUCUCCUACACGUACUAUUUCCCUAUCCCACCCC